AAAUGAAUUGACGGGGGCCCGCACAAGCAGCGGAGCGUGUGGUUUAAUUCGAUGCAACACGAAGAACCUUACCAGGGUUUGACAUGCAUGAAGUAGGGACCCGAAAGGGCGACAAACUGUUAAGUCAGUAGCUUGCACAGGUGCUGCAUGCCUGUCGUCAGCUCGUGCCGUGAGGUGUUCGGUUAAGUCCUGCAACGAGCGCAACCCUCGUGGUUAGUUAAAUUUCUCUAGCCAGACUGCCCCGCAAAACGGGGAGGAAGGUGGGGAUGACGUCAAGUCAGCAUGGCCCUUAUACCCUGGGCUACACACACGCUACAAUGGAUGGUACAAUUGGUUGCGACAGAGCGAUCUGGAGCUAAUCUGUAAAGCCAUUCUCAGUUCGGAUUGCAGGCUGCAACUCGCCUGCAUGAAGUCGGAGUUGCUAGUAACCGCAGGUCAGCAUACUGCGGUGAAUACGUUCUCGGGCCUUGCACACACCGCCCGU
rnacentral:rRNA from 1 species